GAUGACUGUGCUCGCUUUGUACUAAAAUUGGAAUGAGACAGAGAAGAUUAGCAUGGCCUAUGCUAAUGACAGGCAAGGAUGUCAUGGCAAGGAUGACAGGCAAAUUCGUGAAGCGUUCCAUAUUUAA
rnacentral:snRNA from 1 species